ACCAGAACGGUAGGGUUUCGAACCAGAAGAUUUCGUGGUAUUGUGUGUAAUAAUGAGUUUGCGGAUAAAGGGCAUGUGAAUUACUAUAUCGAGCCAACGAGAUGCGGCGAGGAGAAAGAGAAGGUUAAGGUUAUGGAGAAGGAGAAGAAGGCGUUGAAGAAGAAGGCGAAAGUUCUUAAAAGU
rnacentral:sRNA from 1 species